CGGGUCUUGUACACACCGCCCGUCACACUACCUGAAUUGUGGAUACUUGAAGCCAUCGUAAGGUGUCUAGGGUAUGCUCAGUAAGGGGAGUGAAGUCGUAACAAGGUAGCCGUAUCGGAAGGUGCGGCUGGAUCACCUCCUUUUAGGAGUAAAUU
rnacentral:rRNA from 1 species